GACUUCUUAGAGGCCCAAAGCCUCACACGUGCUCGGCUGCUAUCUUUUCACUUAUUCUUUUUGUUUUCCUUUUCUCACAGCUGCUUUACUUCAAUUUCCACUGUCAAAAACCCGAUGAACACGAGCUUGUUUGGUCAUUCUUGCCAAGUCGAAUUAGGGAUGGAUUUGGAGACAGCAAUCAAUUUGGCAAUGGAAUUGAAGAUGGGCCGCAACUAUAUUCUUGUCCAGAAAGGAUUUCAGAGCCUGCAAUUUAGAUUUCUGCACACAAAUUGGGUGAGGAUUUCGUUCUUUAUUUUACUCCUUGGUUUGAUCUGUGUACAACAAAACUGAAAUUUCUUCUUGAUUCUCUUCAUCGGUGACUCUGGGCUUUGAAUGUUGUUUUCUGGUGUUGCAAUUUUAUCGCGGUGAGUUCGAACAAGGCAAGGGUGUACUUUGGGUUGUGACAGCAAUACUCCUGCCUUUGACUCUUCCGAUGCGUAUAUGAGCCUAUUUUGAAGAGGGCAUUCUUUGAUUCCACCGAUAAGUUCCUGCAAUUAACUCCUUUUUCCUUUACCGCAGGAACUACAGGGGAAACCUCACCGGGUGGGUGCUGUUAUUGAGGUUCAAAACGGACCAGGUGAUAGUGGUCACAGCAGUGUUGGAAGUCUCAAAGCUUUAUUUUAAGGAGUUCCCUUUUUUAUCAUCAUUUUUAAUUUGAAUCACGACCCUAUAUGGAAGCAAGGUCUGGAUGGUGAUCCGCAAAGGGCCCUCUGUCAGUUCCGGUUUAUUAAACUGCCGAAACUUGAGGAUGAUAUCGGCACCCUAAGGCUCGCCGUUUCAAAGUUCUGAAAACAGUAUUGGCACCGUAAGGCACCGCCACCGGAGCUUUGAAAGUAUUUUCGGCACCCUAAGGCACGCCGAGUUGAAGCUCAACGACAAUAUCGGCACCCUAAGGCACGCCGUGUCGGAGCAUGAUAUUGAUACCCUACGGUAUCACUUCGUUGGAGGUCUGCAUCAUUUGAGGACAUCAAAGGAAAAGGUGCAGAUCGGUGAAAGGCUCACCUCCUCUUUCUUGCUUUCUUCCUCUCCUUCUCACGCUGCUCUGUUCCUCCUGUUCGUCCUCCUCUUUUUACGUUAGCACGGCUUUCUUAUAUAAUGUACUGCUAACGAGAUUGAGUCCACAUGAAUCUCUUGUGUCUGUUGUGAAUUGAAACACUGAUAAGAGAACCUCUUUGUAUGAAUUGUAGUUGAACUCCAACAACCUUGUGCGUGUCACAAUUAUCUUCUCAGGGGAAGAAUGUGACGUGGGCUUUUAGCUGUAAUUCAUAAUUCUCUUUUCUUUUUCUUA